rnacentral:rRNA from 1 species
AUACGUAGGUUGCAAGCGUUAUCCGGAAUUAUUGGGCGUAAAGAGUGAGCAGGCUGAUUAUUAAGUUUGAAGUCAAAUGAGUAGGCUUAACCUAUUUUCGCUUCAAAAACUGAUAGUCUAGAGUAUGUGAGAGGUUGGUAGAACUCCAUGUGUAGCGGUGAAAUGCGUAGAUAUAUGGAAGAAUACCGGUGGCGAAGGCGGCCAACCAGCACAAUACUGACGCUUAGUCACGAAAGCGUAGGUAGC